UACGGGGGGGGGCAAGCGUUGUUCGGAAUUACUGGGCGUAAAGGGCUCGUAGGCGGCCAACUAAGUCAGACGUGAAAUCCCUCGGCUUAACCGGGGAACUGCGUCUGAUACUGGAUGGCUUGAGGUUGGGAGAGGGAUGCGGAAUUCCAGGUGUAGCGGUGAAAUGCGUAGAUAUCUGGAAGAACACCCGUGGCGAAGGCGGCUCUCUGGGACGGUACUGACGCUGAGACGCGAAAGCGUGGGGAGCGAACAGG
rnacentral:rRNA from 1 species